CAAACACCCGCCGUGUGUGUGUGUGUGUGUGUGUAUGUAUCUAUAUAUAUAUACAUAUAUAUAUAUAUGUAUAUAUAUAUAGAUACAUAUACACUCACACAAACACAUACACUGCUGUGUGUGCU